ACUCACCGGCCUCCCGGCCCCGCCCGGCCCGCCGCCCCCGGCGCCCCUGGGGUCCACGCUCCGAGCCCGGGGACCAUACCCGCACCGUCCCGCCAGGGACCCGGGGCGCCCGGGCUCACUGCGGGGAGGUGGGGACGGCGGCCGAGUUGGUGCCCAGGACGGAAGACACCGGGUAAACGUGGAUAACGGCCUAAAUCAGAGAUGUUUCCCAGUGAUAACCCUGGGAUCCCAGCGACAGGAGAUGGGCCGUUGGGAGCCGGAGCGCCACCCCAAGUGAGAUCACCGGGUGCGAGCCACGCAGCUCCGGCCCCUCCGAGACCCCGAGGGGCUCCGGGCACCUUGCACGUGUACCCCGCCCUCGCCGAGCCUCGCCUCACUCCCGCGUCUCCCACCAGCCCGGCGACCUCUCCCGGUGGCACUACCUUCAAGAGGUGAGGGGGCCGGUGCAGUGCCAGGCGGGCUGGUAGCCCAGCUCUGCCACGUGCCCGCCUGGGACCCUGAGCACAGGCCUGGGCCUUAGUUUCUUCAGCUGUAAAGUGGGAAGGAAGAUGGGCCAGUGCCCAUUCGGGGGCAUCGCGGGAUGGAAGCUAGCGCCUGGCAGGUGACCCUUCAACUUUGUUAUCCCCGGGGCUACCCCCCUCGCGCGGCGCUGGGGGCGAGGAGGGCGGCCCUUUACUCCCCUGCUGCGACUUGGCCAUUCUCUGAGGAAUGGCCCUGGGGAACUUUCCAAACAGAUGCCUGAGACUUUCCAGAGCUUUCUGGGACGCCUGCCCAGUCCAGGAGCCGCUCAUUGUAGGGCUCUGCAUCCCCCAAGUGUGUGGAGGGGCCUGAGAACAGGGGGCCUGGAGGGGAGCUCCCCACAUCUGCCCCGCUGGCAGAAGCCUCUCCCCUGCCCUCGAUGACCCACUUGGGGGAACGCCAGCGCAGCGAGUGCUCUCCCCCAGGGACACCGGGCUCCAGUGGGCACUUCUCCACUGGCAGGCUUUCUGGGAGGGAGGGCCCAUGUGGGGUAACUUGAGGCACCGCAGCUCUCACAAUCUGGGCUCCGCGGGGCCUGGGAGACGUGCUGAGUGUGGCGUGGCCGUGAGCACAGGCUCUGCCCCAUCCCGUCCCCCGUCCCUCGGAAGCAGAGCCAAAGCGGGUGGCUGUGUCUGGUCAGCUGCUGAGUGCCGGGCGCCACGGAGGACGUGGGGAUGGGCACCGGCCGUGGGAUGCGGAAGGCGCUCUCCAAUUGUCCAGAUCUGCCCCCAGGCCUCUCGCGCUGGUUCCCACACACCCUCGCCUCCUGGAAGAGCCGGCCAAGGGACCCCCGCAAAUCCAGCCAAGCAGCUCAGGUCGGAUGACCCACUCCCGUGGGAGCUGGCUGUCACUUCCCCCCUCUGCCUCUUUCCCCAUCUGUCAACGGAGCCAUCGAGGCCCACCUGGGGUGCAGCUCUGAACCAAGUCACCCCAGAAGUCCCUUCAGAGCCAAGACCCUCCCCGCCUGGGCCCCGCCACCAUCCCACACACCUGAGACCCCCCCGCCCCCCUUAGCCCUGUCGGUGCUGAGAAGUGGCAGGUCAGCCAGCAGGAUCCGUCCCCCCAGGGACGCUGCACUCCAGGGAGGGAGGGGCUGAGGCUGGGGCCAGUGGGCUCUCUCCACCCCACUGUGUCUAGGACGGGGGCCUCCAAGGCUGGGGGUGGGGGGAUGCUGGCCGGUGGGGACGAGGGGGCCAGAGCUUCAGGUCCUCUUCCUGGAGAGCAGGCAGCACCCGUCCUCACACCACAGCAGCCGCGGUCUGAGACACCGCCCUUGUCACCCAGCCCACGCCUGGGGGCUCUGACUUCCAAGGCGCUUCCAGCCCCCCAGCCUGCCCCCCCCCCGGUCCCCCCUCCUCGAGGCCUCAGACCCGCCCACGGCAGCCCAGGCUGGACACAGGAGGGGCUGGCGGGCGGGGCACAUCAGCAGCGCCACGGGGAGGGGCCCAGGGGAUGGAGGAAGGAGCGGAGGCCGGCAGCCCUGGGCCUGCCCCCUGCCCAGCCUACCAUCACCCCUCCCGGGGCCGCAGCCCCCCCAGGCCUGCUUGGUGGUCACUCAGAGCGGCUGAGGUCAGAGUCCUGCUGGCAGCUGGCAGCCGAGCGCCGACCAGGGCAGGGCAGCUCCUGGGCCUGCGGUGUGUUCCCCACGACGGGGACGAGGACCCGCCGCAUGGGGCCACGCUGAGCUCACCCCACGGGGGAGCGCGGCCGCGCGUGAGAGCUGCCGACUGCCCUGCCCCCACCCCGUCCCCCCAACCUCCCCAAACGCAACCCAGGCUCCCCCCAGCCCACACCCAGGCCCCCUUCCAGCCGACCCCUCCACGGCCCUCCUCGAGCCCACACACACGCACACCCUCACCCGCGCCCCCUUGCUGGACUGCUCCCUCCGCUAGGAGCGAAGCCCACCCUCAAGUGCUCCAAGGGCCCAGCUGGUGCACAGUGGGCUCUCCCCGCUCUGAAGCCCGCGUCCUGGGAAGCACAGGUACGCCUGCGACCCUCACCUGCAUAGCUCUGUCCCCGAGUCCUCCAGCUCCUGGGGGGACAGGCAGGCCCCAGCUGCCCGCAGCAGCCCAAUGACACCCUGAUGCCUGCCGUGAGAAAGAGCGUGGUGACCGCCUGGACGCCAGCAGGGCCUUGUCCUGUGCCCAAGACCAGGAACCCACCCUCCCCAGACUAGGGCCACCCCACCUCGGUCCCCAGCACCCAGACCCACGCCCGGGGUGAGGGGGGUCAGUCAGCCCUGGCUGAGUGGCAACCCCGCCCGCAGCCCCCCACCCAGGCCCCGAGGCACUGCUCUGGGCACCUGCGUAUGGCCCACCCUGGAGGAGCCUCCCUGCCGAGCUCACACCCGCCAGGGCCGAGUCUGGGAAAACAGAAUCCCUUGGGCCGGUAGUCUGCCCUUGGGGAUGGGGUGGGCAUGAGACACUGACGGAAGAACGUGGGCGUCAGGCUGGCCCGGAGCAGGGCCCAGAGGUCUGUGGGUGUCGAGGCACCUGUUCCGAGCCCAGGGAACAGAGAGCACAGAGCCCCGAGGCUGCCCCCUUCCCCAGUUUGGGGGUGUACCAUCAACUGCAUGGUCACCCCACUUUUAGGGAGCUGGAGAGGAGAGUGGGGUCCCCCCCAGAGCCCUCCAGGGUGAGGCCAGCCCCUCCAGGGCACAGCAGGGCCCGCUUGGGGGUGAGCCGGGAGACCGGUUCGGGAGGUGCCGUGACAGCCAGCUGGGGACGAGCGGGUGGGACCAGGAUGGGGUGAGCUCACCAUGCUACCACCCACACCCAAGCAUGAGCAGCAGAGUCUCCAGCCAGAUCACCGGGCCUGGGCGCCACGGGCACACCCCACGCGCAGCCCUCCCCCUCUGUCCCCCGCCUGUGCUGAGAACCCUUUGAUGCUCCCAGGAGGCAGGGAGGGAGGGGCUACCCCACUGCCCACUGCCCCAAGGGUGAGGCGCCCCAGCCCAGGACUGAGCCGAGAGGUCUGGUGGCCUGGGCUCUCCAUGAGACUCAUGAAACCCCCGGAAAUAACCCAGGGUCCUGCAGGCCGAGAGCCCCCUGGGGAGGGCCCGGGGCCUGUGGCAGACGCUAAACCGAGACCAGCUCUGCAUUCGGAAACAGCAAGACUACAAGAGAUGGAAAGCAAGGGCUGUGAUCCCCAUGUCCCAGACACACACUCACACCCGCGUUCACCAGUGCGCUCACGCUCACAUACACACACACACACACACACUCACACACACUCACACACACAUAUGUAUGUGACGCCCCUCCCGGCUGCCGGGCAGGGCACGGGGAAACAGGUGGGAGAGGGGUCCCGCCCCUGCCCCUAGGUCUUCCCAGAAAGCUCCAGGCCUCGGAGCAACGUGAGCCCCUAGAACACGGGGCCAAGCGGCUACCAGGCCCCACCCGUGCCCAUCCGCCGUGACUUCCAACUGUCCGUCAGAGCAGGAGAGACCUGCCCCUCAGAGAGAUGCCAGGCGGGCCUGGGAGGGCAAGGAGAUGCCUGCCCCAGCAGAGGACACGGGUACAGGUGUUCACCAGCCCCGAUGCCUGCUCCUCCGGCCUCGCGCUGGCUGGCUGCCCGCCCGCCAGGCCCAACCCCAGGGGAAGGGGUCAGAGCCUGUGACCCCGGCUCCCGGGUGGUGACCACCAGCUCGUGCGUUUUCCUUCACAUCGAUCCUCACACAACCCGCCCUGCAAGGUGCCGCUGCCCCAGCCUGCAGUGCACGUCACAGGGGACACGGGUUCGAGCCCUGGUCUGGGAGGAUCACACAUGCCGCAGAGCAACUGGGCCCGUGAGCCACAACUACUGAGCCUGCGCGUCUGGAGCCUGUGCUCCGCAACAAGAGAGGCCGCGACGGUGAGAGGCCCGCGCACCGCGAUGAAGAGUGGCCCCCGCUCGCCGCAACUGGAGAAAGUCCUCACACAGAAACGAAGACCCAACACAGCUAAAAAUGAAUAAAUAAAUAAAUUUAUAAAAUUUUAAAAAAAAACCUACAAAA